GACGUAGGGGGCCAGCGUUGUUCGGAAUUACUGGGUGUAAAGGGUUCGUAGGCGGUGCGGCAAGUUGGGAGUGAAAUCUCUGGGCUCAACCCAGAGGCUGCUUCCAAAACUGCCGUGCUUGAGUGUGGGAGAGGCGCGUGGAAUUGCAGGUGUAGCGGUGAAAUGCGUAGAUAUCUGCAGGAACACCCGUGGCGAAAGCGGCGCGCUGGACCACUACUGACGCUGAAGAACGAAAGCUAGGGGAGCAAACAGG
rnacentral:rRNA from 1 species